rnacentral:rRNA from 1 species
AUUGAACGCUGGCGGCAUGCCUUACACAUGCAAGUCGAACGGCAGCACGGGUGCUUGCUCCUGGUGGCGAGUGGCGAACGGGUGAGUAAUACAUCGGAACAUGUCCUGUAGUGGGGGAUAGCCCGGCGAAAGCCGGAUUAAUACCGCAUACGAUCUACGGACGAAAGCGGGGGACCUUCGGGCCUCGCGCUAUAGGGUUGGCCGAUGGCUGAUUAGCUAGUUGGUGGGGUAAAGGCCUACCAAGGCGACGAUCAGUAGCUGGUCUGAGAGGACGACCAGCCACACUGGGACUGAGACACGGCCCAGACUCCUACGGGAGGCAGCAGUGGGGAAUUUUGGACAAUGGGCGAAAGCCUGAUCCAGCAAUGCCGCGUGUGUGAAGAAGGCCUUCGGGUUGUAAAGCACUUUUGUCCGGAAAGAAAUCCUUGGCCCUAAUACGGUCGGGGGAUGACGGUACCGGAAGAAUAAGCACCGGCUAACUACGUG